rnacentral:rRNA from 1 species
UGAGGAACAUGACUUUCGGUGGGGGAGUAGCCGGCCCCAACGGCCGGGUAAUACCGCGUACGACCUUUUGGGGACAUCCCUGAUUGGUGAAAGCAGCAAUGCGCCGAAAGAGUGCCUCGCGGCCUAUCAGCUAGUUGGUGGGGUAAUGGCUCACCAAGGCAACGACGGGUAGCUGGUCUGAGAGGAUGGCCAGCCACAUUGGGACUGAGACACGGCCCAGACUCCGUACGGGAGGNACGCG